UGUGAUUUAAAGGAGAACUGCCUACUUUU
rnacentral:piRNA from 2 species